GGGACACACUGGGACACUGACAGUUGACCCAGCCUGGCCAGGGCUCAGGAAGGGCUUUGUGAAGUGGGGUUACCUCCAGCAAGCAGAUGCAAUAGACGAGGUGAUAGCUGAGCCUGUCAGAUCUAGGGCUGAGCAGAGGGUUCCAAGUGAGGGAGGAAACUGGCCUUGGCCUCAUGCAGCCUCUGGGCGGAGGACAGGCUGGCCUUUCGGAGACUCUUGGGCUGCUGGAGGGAAAGGCGAGAGGUUGAGUGGGAAGCACAGGCUGGGUAGACAGACCGGUGUCGGGCCCAUUUGGACCGCAGUGGACAUUUCUCCACAGCAGCGGGCGCCCCCUCAGGCUCUGGCAGGCCUCUCUCCUCUGCCCUUCAGCCCUGUGUCUGCUGCAAGGUCCCUCCUUUCUCUUUAGGCCUCCUCUUUACAGGAUCAUCCUUCCCUCCAUUGGCUUCUCAGGGAUUGGGAGGGCAGGCGGGCUUUCUUCUGGCUCAAUAAAGACUUCCUGGUUGACACACUCA
rnacentral:lncRNA from 1 species